rnacentral:rRNA from 1 species
CCUGCAGGUGGUGCGGAAAGUCGGUUGCGAAAGCCCCUGGCUCAACCAGGGAAUUGCGGCCGAAACUGCCGCGCUAGAGUGUGAGAGGGGAGAGUGGAACCUCCAGUGGAGCGGUGAAAUGCGUAGAUAUUGGAGGGAACGCCGGUGGCGAAAGCGACUCUCUGGCUCACAACUGACACUGAGGGGCGAAAGCCAGGGGAGCGAACG